UCCAGUCCAUUUACCCUGUCCACAAAAAAAGAUUCUCACCGCUUGGAGUUUUGAACUGUGCUAAGCAUAAGACAAGUUUUUUAUCUGGAGGUCACAGCUAAAGCAUUGGACAAGUUCUUUUGAAAAAAAGAGUCUUCAAUGUGGCUUUUGUUCCACUAAAAAUUAUCAGUAUAUAGUUCAACUGUUGAAUUGUUACUACUAUCAUAGUUUCAUACCACCAAGGAACCAACCAAUAAAUUUGAAUCAAUUCCCAAAAUGCUCACAACAGAAGGGGAAGAGAGUAGAAGAAGAAGAUAAAAGUUGUUCCAGUCCAUUUA